UACGUGCCAGCAGCCGCGGUAAUACGUAGGGCGCGAGCGUUGUCCGGAAUUAUUGGGCGUAAAGAGCUUGUAGGCGGUUUGUCGCGUCUGCUGUGAAAGGCCGGGGCUUAACCCCGUGUAUUGCAGUGGGUACGGGCAGACUAGAGUGCAGUAGGGGAGAUUGGAACUCCUGGUGUAGCGGUGGAAUGCGCAGAUAUCAGGAAGAACACCGAUGGCGAAGGCAGGUCUCUGGGCUGUAACUGACGCUGAGGCGCGAAAGCCAGGGGAGCGAACGGGAUUAGAUACCCCGGUAGUCCUGGCCGUAAACGAUGGGUACUAGGUGUAGGAGGUAUCGACCCCUUCUGUGCCGGAGUUAACGCGAUAAGUACCCCGCCUGGGGAGUACGACCGCAAGGUUGAAACUCAAAGGAAUUGACGGGGGCCCGCACAAGCGGUGGAGUAUGUGGUUUAAUUCGACGCAACGCGAAGAACCUUACCAGGUCU
rnacentral:rRNA from 1 species